UCCUGGCUUAGGACGAACGCUGGCGGCGUGCCUAACACAUGCAAGUCGAACGGAGUAAUUAAGCGGAAGUUUCGGAUGGAAGCAUAGUACUUAGUGGCGGACGGGUGAGUAACGCGUGGGCAACCUGCCCUGUACCGGGGGAUAACACUUAGAAAUAGGUGCUAAUACCGCAUAAGCGCACAGCUUCGCAUGAAGGUGUGUGAAAAACUCCGGUGGUACAGGAUGGACCCGCGUCUGAUUAGCUAGUUGGUGGGGUAGAGGCCUACCAAGGCGACGAUCAGUAGCCGGCCUGAGAGGGUGACCGGCCACAUUGGGACUGAGACACGGCCCAAACUCCUACGGGAGGCAGCAGUGGGGAAUAUUGCACAAUGGGGGAAACCCUGAUGCAAGCGACGCCGCGUGAGUGAAGAAGUAUUUCGGUAUGUAAAGCUCUAUCAGCAGGGAAGAAAAUGACGGUACCUGACUAGGAAGCCCCGGCUAACUACGUGCCAGCCGCUGC
rnacentral:rRNA from 1 species